UUUUCGUCUAUUAUAUUUCAAAUCCAGUGUCUUCUGUUGCAAGUGUUAGCCUUGGAGGGGAGGGGCCGGAUUAACCGAGUUAUCUUUGGCCGCGAAAUUUUGUAAUCAAGAAUAGCAAUUAUAUCAAUUUGUAUGAACAACUUUUAAGACAAGUUUAAGAUCUAAAACGAUAACAAAAGUCCAUUUUAUAGCAUUGUUUAUUUUCUGUAUUCUUACUUAUACUGACUUUUUUCUUUUCCGUUUUUUAAUAUAAUUUUCAUAAAUUAUUUCAACUUUCCAUAUGAUUUAUUUUAUUUUAUAUUUGUUGGAAGUUAAACACCUGUUAUGAGAAAGUUGGUUUACCCCAUUCUCCCACAUGAAUGGAAAGAUCCUACGAAUGAAAUGACGGUAUAGUAUGGAACGCCA
rnacentral:lncRNA from 1 species